rnacentral:rRNA from 1 species
UGGGGAAUAUUGCACAAUGGAGGGAACUCUGAUGCAGCGACGCCGCGUGAGUGAUGAAGGAAUUCGUUUCGUAAACUCUGUUCUAUGGGAAGAAAAGGACUGUACCAUAGGAGAAAGCUCCGGCUAAAUACGUGCCAGCAGCCGCGGUAAUACGUAUGGAGCGAGCGUUGUCCGGAAUUAUUGGGCGUAAAGGGUGCGCAGGCGGCUUUACAAGUUGGAUGUGAAAUAUUGUGGCUCAACCACAAACGUGCAUCCAAAACUGCAAAGCUUGAGUUAAGGAGAGGUAAGUGGAAUUCCUGGUGUAGCGGUGGAAUGCGUAGAUAUCAGGAGGAAUACCGGUGGCGAAGGCGACUUACUGGACUUAAACUGACGCUCAGGCACGAAAGCGUGGGGAGCAAACAGG